rnacentral:rRNA from 1 species
UUUUCCUACGGGACGCAGCAGUGGGGAAUAUUGCACAAUGGGGGAAACCCUGAUGCAGCGACGCCGCGUGAGUGAAGAAGUAAGUCGUUAUGUAAAGGUCUAUCAGCAGGGAAGAAAAUGACGGUACCUGAGUAAGAAGCCCCGGCUAACUACGUGCCAGCAGCCGCGGUAAUACGUAGGGGGCAAGCGUUAUCCGGAUUCACUGGGUGUAAAGGGAGCGUAGACGGCAGUGCAAGUCUGGAGUGAAAGGCGGGGGCUCAACUCCCGGACUGCUCUGGAAACUGUACGGCUGGAGUGCAGGAGGG